GAUGGUAGAUCCCCAGGUACCAGGUUGGUUACCACUGGAUUAGAAGACGGACACUGUAUCCCACGUCCUGUUCUGUUGAGUUUCACUCUUCCUGCACUGGUUUUGGAUUUGCGUUAGAUUUUUCACUUUGCCAUGGGAGCAUCGCCUAACAAUGUGCCACAACCAGGUCUGUAUGGAAACUGAGUCUAGGAAACUGGAGAUGGCUUGGCUGUCUCCUAGCAACAACAGGAUUGCCAACAAGUAGAGUGAGAGAAAGAGAACACACAAUCCAGAGAAGAGCAUGAGGGAACAGGUGUGAGAUACCUGGACACAGGAAGUCUAGGGAUAAGCGCAGACCCUCUCUGAGCGCAGACACCAUGAUGUUCGUGGGCACCCAUCUGAGCGGUAAAGACCCCCUGAGGGAGACCAGCUCAUCUCCCCUGCCCGCGUGUGGCGCUGCUCCCGGAC